GACGUAGGGCGCGAGCGUUGUCCGGAAUUAUUGGGCGUAAAGAGCUCGUAGGCGGUUCGUCGCGUCGGCUGUGAAAACCCGGAGCUCAACUCCGGGCCUGCAGUCGAUACGGGCGGACUUGAGUGUUGCAGGGGAGACUGGAAUUCCUGGUGUAGCGGUGAAAUGCGCAGAUAUCAGGAGGAACACCGGUGGCGAAGGCGGGUCUCUGGGCAACUGACUGACGCUGGAGGAGCGAAAGCGUGGGAGCGAACAGG
rnacentral:rRNA from 1 species